CAGCGCCGGAAGUGCGCCCGCGCCGACCCGGCGAGCCGGUCUUGUUUCGGCCUUUGUGGGUCGUUCUUGUUAGGUCCUGGCUUCCGAAGGUGUUGGAGGCCUCAGCCCGGAGCCCCGGGAGGAGGGAAUCCUCUGCUGGCUCCGGGGGCCGCGGGUGAGCGAGCCUGUGCUCCGGACGCUGGGCGACGGGAUAUUAGGGCGUUCUGGCGGCCUGGGGCCCUCGGGCCGGCCCAGGCGGGAGCAGGGCGCCCUGCGGUCCUCCCCGCCCAGAUCCACCCAGGAAGAAACUUUCCACUGGAGAUCUUGCUUGAAGCACUGACACAGCUUUUGCAAGGCUAUGAUGGCAUCUACUUGGGCUAUCCAGGCCCACAGGAACCAGGAUGAACUUUUGGAAGUAAAGAUAGAGGAGGAGGAGCAGAAGGAGGAGAAUUAUAAGUAUACCACGAGACAGGAUCAGAAGCUGCAGAAGAACAACACCCAUAGCAGAGAGGUCUUUCGACAGUACUUCAGGCAGUUCUGCUACCAGGAAACAUCUGGACCCCGUGAGGCUUUGAGUCGACUCCGGGAACUUUGCCAUCAGUGGCUGAGGCCGGAGACCCACACCAAAGAGCAGAUCCUGGAGCUGCUGGUGCUGGAACAAUUCUUGACGAUCCUGCCUGAGGAGCUGCAAGCCUGGGUGCAGGAACAGCAUCCAGAGAGUGGGGAAGAGGUGGUGACUGUGCUGGAGGAUUUAGAGAGAGAGUUGGACGAGCCAGGAUAUCAGGUCUCAGACCACGCUGAGGAACAGGAAAUGUUCUUGCAGGAGAUGGCACCUCUAGGAAGAGAACAAGAACCCAGUAUGACCCUCCAGUGUGUGAAAGCCCAGCUAAAGUGUGAAUCUCCAGAACUUGAAGCCCAACAGAAGCAAGUUUCAGAUAUUGAGACUGGAAAUGAGUACAGGAAUUUAACUUUAAAGCAAGAAGUUUCUGAAGAAAUGGAACCAUAUGGGACUAUAUCUAGCAAAUUUGAAAAUGAAAUGUCCCAGUCUAUUAGAUAUGAAAAAACCUAUGAAUCUGAAGAAAAAACAGAAGAGCCUUCUGGACAUUCUAGGGAAGAUAAACAACCUAUAUGUGAUGAAAAUGGAGUAAGUUUGACUGAGAACUCAGACCUUACUGAACACCAGAGAAUUUGUCCAGGAGAAAAACCUUACGAAUGUGAUGACUGUGGAAAAGCUUUUAGUCAGCACUCACGCCUCAUAGAACAUCAGAGGAUCCAUACUGGAGACAGGCCCUACAAAUGCGAAGAAUGUGGAAAAACUUUCCGUGGGAGAACUGUGCUUAUUCGGCACAAAAUAAUACACACUGGAGAGAAACCAUAUAAAUGUAAUGAGUGUAGCAAAGCCUUUGGCCGGUGGUCAGCUCUUAAUCAACAUCAGAGGCUUCACACAGGAGAGAAACACUACCACUGUAAUGAAUGCGGCAAAGCCUUUAGCCAGAAAGCAGGCCUCUUUCACCAUCUCAAAAUCCACACAAGAGACAAACCAUAUCAUUGUACUCAGUGUAAUAAAAGUUUUAGUCGGCGUUCAAUACUUACUCAGCAUCAAGGAGUUCAUACUGGGGCAAAGCCAUAUGAGUGCAAUGAGUGUGGAAAAGCCUUUGUUUAUAACUCAUCCCUUGUUUCCCAUCAGGAGACUCACCACAAAGAAAAAUGCUAUCAGUGUAAGGAAUGUGGGAAAUCCUUCAGUCAGAGUGGCCUUAUUCAACAUCAGAGAAUCCACACUGGGGAGAAACCGUACAAGUGUGAUGUUUGUGGAAAAGCCUUUAUUCAGAGGACAAGUCUUAUGGGACAUCAGCGAAUUCACACUGGAGAGAGACCCUAUAAAUGUGACAAGUGUGGGAAGGCUUUCACUCAAAGAUCAGUCCUCACAGAACAUCAGCGAAUCCACACUGGAGAGAGGCCCUACAAGUGCGAUGAGUGUGGGAAUGCCUUCCGAGGAAUCACCAGCCUCAUUCAGCAUCAGAGAAUCCACACUGGGGAGAAACCCUACCAAUGUGAUGAAUGUGGCAAAGCCUUCAGACAGAGGAAGAAGACUAGCUACAGGGAAAUACUUCUGAAAAAUCAGUGUGAACCCCAAGCUGGAGUGAAUCUUCUCCUCAGCUCUCUCAUUCCAGAAUGGCAGUCCUCUUGCAGGAAAGCUCUCUAAUAGUGACUGAUGGUACAGGAACAGGGAUGUGCUGUGCCAAGAAUCAGGCUGGCAAAGAAAUCACAGACCUUUCUUCAAACUUUAAGUUGUUACUAUCAGGAGAUAAAGAUCUGGACCUCACAGGGCUGUCAGAAGACUCAGGAAGCUCUGCCCACAAUUUCUGAGACUAGAAAUACAGACCAAGGAGCAGAUGUUGAAGCAGGUCCUGACCCUGCCUGGAGAACUGCAGACCUAGGUAGGAUAAUAUCAUCUAGAAUGUGGAGAAGAGGCAUCGGUCAUGCUGGAGAAGUUGAAGAGACAGCUUGAAGGACACACCAUCAGAUGAUGUUACUGAGAAUGAAAAUAAGGACUUGUCUCCAACACAAAAAAACUGUGAAGAUGCGAAAUCAUGUUGGGGGAUCUCUAUAGAACUGCAUUAUCAAUGCAAUAAGUGUAGUAAAAACUUUACUUACUGGUGAGUCAUUACUCAGCAUUAGGGAGUCCACAUGGAAGAGAAUCUCUCUGAGAGCAACAAGUUUGGAAAGGCUUUUGUUUAUAACGGAUCCCUCUUUUGCCACCAGCAGAUCACCACAAGGAAAAAUGCUUAUCAGUAUAAGGAAUGUGGGAAAGCUUUCAGCUAUAGUGGCCUUUUUUGACAUCAGAGAAUCCACAUAAGCCAGAGACUGCAUAAAUGUGGUGACUGUGAGGAGGCCUUCAUUCAGCAUGGAAAUCUUGUAGAACAUUAUGUGAAGGAAAUAGGAAGGCCACCCAGAAGUCAGGACUGACUGUGCACCAGAGCAUCUACAGAGGAGAGAGAUCUUAUAAACAUGAUGAAUGUGGAAAUACUUUCCGUGGAAUCACCAGCUUUGUUCAGCAUUGGAGAAUUCACACUCAAGAGAACCCUGACAGUGUGAUGUGUAUGGAAAAUUCUUCAGAUAAGAGUUUGGAUCUUGGUAAACAUCAGCAAAUCCAUAUUAGAGAGGCUCUUAUAAAUGAGAGGAUUGUGGGAAGUUAUAUAGAUAGAGAUCAAGCCUCACCUACAGUCUCUCCACAGUAUUGGAAAAUUAAUAUAAUUAAUGUAAAUGGGCAGUUGUAUGGUGAAGAAGUAUUCUAAAUUGCCCAUUUUAGCCAGUAAAAAUAUUCAAUGAGUGUCUCAGGUCAAGAAAAGGAAAGGUCAGAAGUUUUUUCGAUUCCUAGAGGAGUCUAUAUAUGUAAGCAACCAGGACUUUUGAAAUAAACUCUUUCUCUGCACCCCUGGACUUGUGAUCCUGUCUCCUGGAUGAUUAUCUGUGUAUUGAAGAUAUGUUAUUUCCCCAUGCCUGCUCUAAUCUCAUAUCUUAAAUUCAUUCAACAAAUGUA